rnacentral:rRNA from 1 species
CCCUUAGAUGUUCUGGGCCGCACGCGCGCUACACUGAUGCAUUCAACGAGUCUAAAACCUGGUCUGAUAGGGCUGGGUAAUCUUUUGAAUGUGCAUCGUGAUUGGGAUAGAUGAUUGCAAUUCUUCAUCUUCAACGAGGAAUGCCUAGUAAACGCAAGUCAUCAGCUUGCAUCGAUUACGUCCCUGCCCUUUGUACACACCGCCCGUCGCUCCUACCGAUUGAAUGUUCCGAUGAAUACCAUGGACUGAGAGUAUGAAUGGGUUCGCCUAUUUCUGCUUCUCGGGAAGUGGAGUAAAUCUUAACAUUUAGAGGAAGGAGAAGUCGUAACA